UACGUAGGGUGCAGGCGUUAAUCGGAAUUACUGGGCGUAAAGCGUGCGCAGGCGGCUCCUUAAGUCAGAUGUGAAAGCCCCGGGCUUAACCUGGGAACUGCGUUUGAAACUGGGGAGCUAGAGUGUAGAAGAGGGGGGUGGAAUUCCAGGUGUAGCGGUGAAAUGCGUAGAGAUCUGGAGGAACACCGAUGGCGAAGGCAGCCCCCUGGGCUAACACUGACGCUCAUGCACGAAAGCGUGGGGAGCAAACAGG
rnacentral:rRNA from 1 species